rnacentral:rRNA from 2 species
AUUGCCCUAGUAACGGCGAGUGAAGCGGCAACAGCUCAAAUUUGAAAUCUGGCUCUCGGGCCCGAGUUGUAAUUUGUAGAGGAUGCUUUUGGUGCGGUGCCUUCCGAGUUCCCUGGAACGGGACGCCAUAGAGGGUGAGAGCCCCGUCUGGUUGGAUGCCAAUCCUCUGUAAAGCUCCUUCGACGAGUCGAGUAGUUUGGGAAUGCUGCUCUAAAUGGGAGGUAUAUGUCUUCUAAAGCUAAAUACCGGCCAGAGACCGAUAGCGCACAAGUAGAGUGAUCGAAAGAUGAAAAGAACUUUGAAAAGAGAGUUAAAAAGUACGUGAAAUUGUUGAAAGGGAAGCGCUUGUGACCAGACUUGGGCUUGGUUGAUCAUCCAGGGUUCUCCCUGGUGCACUCUUCCGGCUCAGGCCAGCAUCAGUUUGCCUCGGGGGAUAAAGGCUUCGGGAAUGUGGCUCUCUCCGGGGAGUGUUAUAGCCCGCUGCGUAAUACCCUGUGGCGGACUGAGGUUCGCGCAUUCGCAAGGAUGCUGGCGUAAUGGUCAUCAGUGACCCGUCUUGAAACACGGACCAAGGAGUCGUCUUCGUAUGCGAGUGUUCGGGUGUCAAACCCCUACGCGAAAUGAAAGUGAACGCAGGUGAGAGCUUCGGCGCAUCAUCGACCGAUCCUGAUGUUCUCGGAUGGAUUUGAGUAAGAGCAUACGGAGCCGGACCCGAAAGAAGGUGAACUAUGCCUGUGUAGGGUGAAGCCAGAGGAAACUCUGGUGGAGGCUCGCAGCGGUUCUGACGUGCAAAUCGAACUUCUAACAUGGGCAUGGGGGCGAAAGACUAAU